rnacentral:rRNA from 1 species
AAUGGGGGAAACCCUGAUGCAGCAACGCCGCGUGAAGGAUGAAGGUUUUCGGAUUGUAAACUUCUUUAGUCGGGGACGAAUAAUGACGGUACCCGAAGAAUAAGCCACGGCUAACUACGUGCCAGCAGCCGCGGUAAUACGUAGGUGGCGAGCGUUGUCCGGAUUUACUGGGUGUAAAGGGCGUGUAGGCGGGGAUGCAAGUCAGAUGUGAAAUCCCGGGGCUCAACUCCGGGGCUGCAUCUGAAACUAUAUCUCUUGAGUGCUGGAGAGGAAAGCGGAAUUCCUAGUGUAGCGGUGAAAUGCGUAGAUAUUAGGAGGAACACCAGUGGCGAAGGCGGCUUUCUGGACAGUAACUGACGCUGAGGCGCGAAAGCGUGGGGAGCAAA